UUGGGAAGUACAUCUUUGACGUUAAUAGGUUGUAUAAAGCUAUGUCUCGAUUUCCGUUCUAGCCACAGACGUAGGAAUCUGUCACAAGUACAGGACCAGCGGAAAAAUACGUGAUGAAGCUGGUCGGUAUAUCCGCUCUGGCAUUGUUUUGCCUGCUUGUAGCCGGUGUCACCUGUAAUUACUACGGUGGUGGUGGGGGAUAUGUCCCUUAUUAUCCGCAGCAAACUAACAACAACAGUUGGUGGGGAAUUCUUCCACUUUUGUUCCUCCUGAUAUUCCUACCACUAUUCUCUCAGAGCAACGAUCAACUUGUUCUAGUGAACUCUACACUUGAAGGAUAAAAAGGGUUUCUGAUGAGUCCGGUUCACAAGUUAAUGCGAAAUGUCGACAUAUUUUUCUGACUUCAUGCGUCACAGAAUAAUUUCAAAUGAAUCACGACCUUGCGUACGAUGAUGCUGACUGUGUAAAGAGAUAUGGUCCCUCCCCCAGCUAGUUGUUGUACAUAUUUGUUGAUAGAGACGUUUUAUUUCAUCUUCUUCUUCUACGUUAACCACGUUAUGUUUUAUUUCACUUGGUUGUUUCUUGUUUCUUUUGUGAUCAUUUAUUAAUAAAAUAAUGUCUGCAGGAUACCAAAUAAU